UGUCACAGCUGCGCUAAUGUUAACUGUGUUAGCUAGAGUCUUGUUCCCAUAGCGACAGAAGAGGGAGCUGUUCGUCAGCUAUUCUGAACAAAAUCUUUUCAUUUAAAAAAGAUAGAUGAACAGAGGGCAAGAACCUGGGAUAAACUCCAAGCACUCAUAAAAACAAGAAUGGGUCACCAUCAGCCAGGAUUCGGCCCAGAAGUUGUUAUCCAGCAUUAACAAGGACACGGAAGGCUUUUAAAGGUUCUCGCCAAAGCUGCAGCUAGCGGAUUGGGAUAUAGCAGCUCCCAGGGAAAUACUCUGGGCUGGCUUUAAGGCAUUGAUAUGACUGCUAGGACCCAAAGACCUGUGGGCAAGGAGGAGAACACAAUGAACCGAGCAACAGGUUUAAAAUCUGAACUACAUUAACGCUCAUCGCAGACGGCUUGGUGCGUUGUGAACACUGACCCCUCCUUCAGAACCACAGCAUCCUCCUGUCUGCUGGACUCUUUGCUGACGUUGGAGGAGAUUUCAUCCAG